rnacentral:rRNA from 1 species
GAUGAACGCUGGCGGCGUGCUUAACACAUGCAAGUCGAACGGGAAUUCUUUUAUUGAAACUUCGGUCGAUUUAAUUUAAUUCUAGUGGCGGACGGGUGAGUAACGCGUGGGUAACCUGCCUUAUACAGGGGGAUAACAGUCAGAAAUGGCUGCUAAUACCGCAUAAGCGCACAGAGCUGCAUGGCUCAGUGUGAAAAACUCCGGUGGUAUAAGAUGGACCCGCGUUGGAUUAGCUUGUUGGCAGGGUAACGGCCUACCAAGGCGACGAUCCAUAGCCGGCCUGAGAGGGUGAACGGCCACAUUGGGACUGAGACACGGCCCAGACUCCUACGGGAGGCAGCAGUGGGGAAUAUUGCACAAUGGGGGAAACCCUAAUGCAGCGACGCCGCGUGAAGGAAGAAGUAUCUCGGUAUGUAAACUUCUAUCAGCAGGGAAGAUAGUGACGGUACCUGACGAAGAAGCCCCGGCUAACUACGUG